rnacentral:rRNA from 1 species
UACGGGGGGGGCAAGCGUUGUUCGGAAUUACUGGGCGUAAAGGGCCAGUAGGCGGCCAACUAAGUCCGACGUGAAAUCCCCAGGCUUAACCUGGGAACUGCGUCGGAUACUGGAUGGCUUGAAUUCGGGAGAGGGAUGCAGAAUUCCAGGUGUAGCGGUGAAAUGCGUAGAUAUCUGGAGGAACACCGGUGGCGAAGGCGGCAUCCUGGACCGGCAUUGACGCUGAGGCGCGAAAGCCAGGGGAGCAAACGGG